CAAUCUCAUUCAACUCAGGAUUCCAGCACUCCAGUCUGAAAGUCUAAGAGGCAUUGCUUUUAUGUCACAUAGGAAGGAACAUUUUCUUUCGACGAGGAGAGUUUCAUGUAGGACUGUGGGAUAAUGUUCUGGGUUGUUUUUAGCAAAUUUUAAUAGUGGAAAUUUUUGUGUAAAAAAUAAAACGUUUCUGCCCUCACUGAAAAAAGACUGCGACAAUUUUAACUAAACAUAUUACUUUCUCCUGCACAGCCUGGCAUUGGAAUUUC
rnacentral:lncRNA from 1 species